rnacentral:rRNA from 1 species
UGGGGAAUAUUGCGCAAUGGGCGAAAGCCUGACGCAGCGACGCCGCGUGAGGGAUGACGGCCUUCGGGUUGUAAACCUCUUUCAGCAGGGAAGAAGCGAAAGUGACGGUACCUGCAGAAGAAGCACCGGCUAACUACGUGCCAGCAGCCGCGGUAAUACGUAGGGUGCAAGCGUUGUCCGGAAUUAUUGGGCGUAAAGAGCUCGUAGGCGGUCUGUCGCGUCGGAUGUGAAAAUCCAGGGCUCAACCCUGGACCUGCAUUCGAUACGGGCAGACUAGAGUUCGGUAGGGGAGACUGGAAUUCCUGGUGUAGCGGUGAAAUGCGCAGAUAUCAGGAGGAACACCGGUGGCGAAGGCGGGUCUCUGGGCCGAAACUGACGCUGAGGAGCGAAAGCGUGGGGAGCGAACAGG